rnacentral:ncRNA from 1 species
GGUCAAGCGAAUUAUAGGUUAAUGGUGGAUGCCUAUGGAGCUGUGAGACGAUGAAGGACGUGAUAAGCUGCGAUAAGCCACGGUUAGGAGCACAUAUCCUUUGACCCGUGGAUUUCCGAAUGGGGUAACCCGGCUGGAGUGAUCCAGUCACUGCGCACCUGAAUAAAAUAGGGUGGCAGAGCGAUACUGAGUGAAGUGAACCAUCUAAGUAACUCGGGAACAGACAUCAAUUGAGAUUCCGCAAGUAGCGGCGAGCGAACGCGGAUCAGGCCAAACCGGUUUUCCGGGGUGUAGGGCUGCAUGGGGAUGACCCGGCAAGUCAUAAAACUAAGUGAUAGCAGAAUAGUUUGGGAGAGUUCAUCGCGAAAGUCAGGACGCUUGCCGCCAAAAAGCAUUCUGUCGUCGUCGUGAUAAGCGAGGGAAUCAGAACCGCGGA